rnacentral:rRNA from 1 species
UACAGAGGUCCCGAGCGUUGUUCGGAUUCAUUGGGCGUAAAGGGUGCGUAGGCGGCGGGCAAGUCUGAUGUGAAAUCCCGGGGCUCAACCCCGGAACUGCAUUGGAUACUGCCUUGCUUGAGUACUGGAGAGGGAACUGGAAUUUACGGUGUAGCAGUGAAAUGCGUAGAGAUCGUGAAGGAAGGCCAGUGGCGAAGGCGAGUUCCUGGACAGUUACUGACGCUGGAGGCACGAAGGCCAGGGGAGCAAAACGGG